CAGGUUCAGGUCUGUGGUUGAAAGUCCAAGCCAGGCACGGGCAAAGGGAUCCACGUAAGCUGCAAUGCGCAAGACGCGCGCAGUGAUCAUGGCGUGCUUUAGAAGUAAGUCCUCCGCAAAGCGGGUAAAGGCAGGUGUGGGGUCAAAGAUCAGGUCAGCUGAACCUG
rnacentral:ncRNA from 12 species